GUAGUUUUCCCUUCCCGGGCGGGGAUGGGGAGGAAGCGGAAGUCGGGAGGAAGAAAGGGAAGGCUGCUUCCUGCGGCGCAGGGUUGGACUGCGGAACUGCCUGCCACAGGAGGCCGCCAACUGGAUGUCUUCAAAAGAGGCUCCAGCAAAUUGAGGGAGGAGGAAGAGGACAGGAAAGGCUGUCCUCUGGCUCCGCAAUCGGAGGCAGAAAUGUUUCCCAAGACCAGUUGCUGGAAAUCGCAGGAGGGGAGAGCGGCUCUGUGUUCGAGUCCUGCGUGAGGUUUUCCCAUUGGGGCCUCUGGCUGGCCUCUGCGAGAACAAGAUGCUGGACUAGAGGCGCAUUGGCCUGAUUCAGCAGGCUCUCAAAUGGCUUCUGCGCUGAAUCCUUCCUCCUUCACGGGCAGCAUCCAACGAAGUGGAAGCCGGAAGGCUGAGGCAGAAGGAAGUCCUCCUCUGAAGCACAGAGUUCAACAGUGGAACUCACUGCCACAAGAGGCCGUGCUUCUCAGCCUGACUACCGCACAGGCUUGUUGCGAGGAUUAAAGAGGGAAAGGAGACUCCCGGGCAGAAAGGCCCUCCGAAUCCCGAGGGUGACGCCAACUCUCCCUGAUAGCCACGUGCAAGGCCAGGGACAGCCAGAAGGGGGCAGUAGCCAAUGUCACUUCAGUCCACAGGCAGCUGCGAGAGGAACUGGGGGGAAGCGACCCUCAGAUCUUCUCCUCUCGGCCCUGAUGUCCACAGAUCCACAAGAAGAGAAGGAUCAGGCCACUGGCCUUCCAAAGCCCUCUCCUCCUCUUUUAAAGCCAUCUAGCAGUCCUGAGGCAGAGAGUUCCACAGGUUAACUCUGUGCUGUGUGAAGGACCUUCUUUGAUCUGCCCCGAAUCUUCCAACAUUCGGCUUCAAUGUGUGCCCCCCAUCAGAGGAUGAAUUUAAUGCCUCGAGGGAUGGCAUCGCGCAGGAGUAAAAUGCCUCCCCGUCUGCCCCCCAACCCCAAGAGCCAGCCAAAUGGCGCCAACGGCAGGACCAGGCAGGGCAGCGCUGGAGCCUACAUCCUCUGCCAGGUGACCCUCAUGGUCCCUCUGUGAUUCUGUGCAUUAUUAGGGUUGUAGCUCAGCGACAGGCAGAAGGUCCCGGGUUCAGUUCCCAGCAGCACCUCCAGGUAGGGCUGGCAGAGACUCCUCCUUGAAACCCUGGAGAGCCGCAGCUGCCAGUCAGUGUAGACAAUAUACAGCUGGAUGGUCUCAAGCAGCAUGGUCUGCUUGAAUGGCAUCCGUCUGGCUAGGGAGACAUUGGGAAAAUGCACCUUUGAGGGCAAAGUCAAGCUGUUGGAAGGGAGGGAGUUGUCGCCGCGCCACACCUUGGUAUGUGGAGGCCCACAGGGCGCAAUCCUUUCCCCAAUGCUUUUUAAUAUCUUAAGUGCCCCCUCGCCCAGCUUGUCCGGAGCUUUGGGCUGGGUUGGCAUCAGUAUGCUGAUGACACCCAGCUUUAUCUGUUGGUGGACGGCCGCCCUAACUUGACCACGGACACACUGACCAGAUGCUUGGAAGCUGUGGCUGGAUGGUUACGUGGGAGCCGGUUGAAGCUAAAUCCUUCGAAGACAGAGGUCCUCUGGCUGGGACGGGACGACAUGGGGUUGGGGGGCCAACUCCCAUCUCUUGCGGGGGCGCAAAUAGUGCCAGUGCCUGCUGUCAAGAGUUUGGGUGUAACCUUCAACGCCUCCCUUUCCAUGGAGGUGCAGGUUGCAGCCACAGCAAAGGCGGCAUUUUUCCAUCUCCGCCGUAUUAAGCAGUUGGCUCCUUACCUCUCUCGCCCUGAUCUUGCCACUGUGAUCCACGUGACGGUCACCUCCAGACUGGAUUAUUGUAAUUCGCUCUACGUGGGGCUGCCCUUGAGACUGACCCAGAAACUCCAGCGGGUGCAGAAUGCCGUGAUGAGACUCCUUACGGGGUCUUCGCUGCGAGAUCACAUUCAUCCAGUGCUAUACCAGCUGCACUGGCUCCUGGUGGAGUACAGGAUCAGGUUUAAGGUGCUGGUUUUGACCUUUAAAGCCCUAUAUGGCCUAGGACCCUCGUACCUACGGGACCGCCUCUCCCGGUAUGGCCCACAGAGGACCUUAAGGUCCACAAAUAGCAACACUUUGGCGGUCCCAGGUCGCAAGGUGGUUAGAUUGGUCUCAACCAGAGCCAGGGCUUUUUCGGCUGUGGCCCCGAUCUGGUGGAACGCUCUGUCCCAAGAGACUAGGGCCCUGCGGGACUUGACAUCUUUCCGCCGGGCCUGCAAGACGGAGCUGUUCCGCCUGGCCUUUGGCUUGGACUCGGUCUGACCCUUAUGUUUCCCUCCCCUUAUGGUCUUGAUUUAUCGGCUAUUUUAAAAUGAGACUGCUUUUUAAAUUGCAUAUUAGCCUGUAUUUUAAGUUGGUUUCUCCCCCCCCCCCCUCUUUUUUCCCCUAUUAUGUUUUUACUGUGAUUUUAUUGGUGUUAGCCGCCCUGAGCCCGGCUAUGGCCGGGGAGGGCGGGGUAUAAAUAAAAUUUAUAAUAAUAAUUAUUAUUAUUACAGCAGCACCUGCUAUGGCUGCAGAGACUGAUACAGGAGAGACAUGUUUUGUUGCAGCCGGGGCAGACGAAGGUGUCCCGUUGUGCUGCUGCAGAUGCACCAGGGCCUUUCUCCUCCCAGCCGUCAUUCCUUCUCUGGUCCCUGUUCUGGAUGCAGGGCCUGCCUGCCUGCCUGUCUGUCUCCGGGCACUGGGGUCGUCUGCAUGGGAUUCCCACACGGCAGGACUGAUGUUGCCAGCCUUUAUGUCACACUGGCAGACAUCUUAGUAAGGCAGAGCUGCUCUGCCAGUUGACCUGGUGCCCGAAGCCAGCACCCCAUCGGGGAUCCUGCCAUCUUGCAUUCUGCGGACACAACCAAGCCGGACGUCGCUGAGACAGGAGUGUGAACAUGCUGGGAGUGUUGACUUGGGAGAGCACUUUUUCGUUUGGAAUUCUGUCCUGUCGUGUGACGCCCCCAAUCCUUCGGUUGCAGGUUGCAUCCUCAUUUUUAAUUUGUAUACCACAGUUCUAUCUUACAAUACUCAAGGCGGUUUACAAGCUGAAGAAACAAAAAAUGUACAUCUUAUGACAAUCUAGCAAUACAAAAAUGUGAUCAUAAAACAUAACUUUAAAAUAGGCAGCCUCCAUCAAAAAAGUAACAUUCAACAAUCAUUAGAAUAGUAUAAAAUAAUAAUAUCAACAUAUAAAAGGUAAACAGAAAUCCACUCAAUAGUUACAAUAAUAUCUAAACUAUAAUCAAUAAGACAACGGCAAGCCACAGUGCGUAAAACAAUACAAUACACAUUGAGAAGCAGAGAGUGGGGCAAGGCAGGUGGGAGGAGGCCUUGCCUGGUGGAGUCUCUCCCCUCAUCAGUGCAUCCGGAAGUCACUGAGGCAUCGCUCCUGCCAGUUGCAAGUUGCGCCCACGACUCAGUGCCACAAAGCAGCAUGCUCAGCAUGCGUGCGUCUUGAUACUGGACACCCCAUUCUCCCAGACCCCUUUGGAGAAGCCAGCCAUUCCCAUAGCUGCCUUGCCAACAUGCUUUUCCAGCUCAGCAUCAAUGGAGACUUUUCUGGUUAUAGGAGAACCCAGUGUGAUGGCCUGGGACUCGGAACCAGAGGAGACUCAGUCUGCACCGGAUCCUUUGCCUCAGGCAUCAUCUGAACCACGUCUGGGGCCUGAUCCUGAAGAGUCCCAGUCUGCACAGGUUCCCCUGCAACAAGCACCAGCUGGGCCGAGUCAGGGGCCUGAGCCUGCCCUGGCUCCAGAUGCGGGGAUGUUACCGGAAAAAUCCGAGGGCUCCCUUGGACAAAAUAAAGACACCAACCAGGAUUACUUGGAGCAAAACAGCAGCCUGUAGGCUUGGCCUUUAUUGAACUCUUGCAACAGGGGGCUCCCCUCACUUGCAGGAGAGAGGAAGGUCCCAGAAAAAUGCUGUGCAAGGGCUUAUAAAGACUUUUGAAAUUCCCAUCCUGUAGGUCAAGCCCACCCCCAGAAACAUCAUGCAUACAUCACAGAAAGGAGGGGUUGAGGGAGGAGUUGUGGUGGUAACCUGAGUGUCCUGUCACCUGGCUGGUUCCCCCUUUCCCCCUCCCCGUAAAUACUUUCCAGGUGACAGAGGGGAGUUUGCAGUUUCCUGCCCCCAGAGGGAAGAUCUGAUUAUUGUCCUUUGUUCCAGUCCGUGCUGAAUCCACUCCCAUAUGCAAGUUCUUUGUGAUCUUGAUGGUCUUCUGUCCAGAACCAUCAGGGUUGGCAUAGCAACUGGGCAGGGCUCCUGUGUAUGUGCUGGGAUGGUGAAGGGAUUAUGGCUGCCCUGUAUCAAACCUUCCCCAUUUUGUAGUCCUUCCUUCAUGGAGUAAAAUAAAAGUGGAACAGUGCAAAUCCGAUGUAUGGUUGAUUUUCUAUGAAUUUAUAGCAGAAGCGUAGCGUAUGUAGUGUGUGAAGUUUGUACAAACUGAAUGAUGGGG
rnacentral:lncRNA from 1 species